AGAGUUUGAUCCUGGCUCAGAUUGAACGCUGGCGGCAUGCCUAACACAUGCAAGUCGAACGGCAGCACGGUCUAGUUUACUAGAUGGGUGGCGAGUGGCGGACGGGUGAGUAACGCGUAGGAAUAUGCCUUAAAGAGGGGGAUAACUUGGGGAAACUCAAGCUAAUACCGCAUAAUCUCUUCGGAGCAAAGCUGGGGACCUUCGGGCCUGGCGCUUUAAGAUUAGCCUGCGUCUGAUUAGCUAGUUGGUGAGGUAAAGGCUCACCAAGGCAACGAUCAGUAGCUGGUCUGAGAGGAUGAUCAGCCACAUUGGGACUGAGACACGGCCCAAACUCCUACGGGAGGCAGCAGUGGGGAAUCUUGCGCAAUGGGCGAAAGCCUGACGCAGCCAUGCCGCGUGAAUGAUGAAGGUCUUAGGAUUGUAAAAUUCUUUCACCGGGGACGAUAAUGACGGUACCCGGAGAAGAAGCCCCGGCUAACUUCGUGCCAGCAGCCGCGGUAAUACGAAGGGGGCUAGCGUUGCUCGGAAUUACUGGGCGUAAAGGGAGCGUAGGCGGACAUUUAAGUCAGGGGUGAAAUCCCGGGGCUCAACCUCGGAAUUGCCUUUGAUACUGGGUGUCUUGAGUAUGAGAGAGGUGUGUGGAACUCCGAGUGUAGAGGUGAAAUUCGUAGAUAUUCGGAAGAACACCAGUGGCGAAGGCGACACACUGGCUCAUUACUGACGCUGAGGCUCGAAAGCGUGGGGAGCAAACAGGAUUAGAUACCCUGGUAGUCC
rnacentral:rRNA from 1 species